CGAGUGACCAAAAUAAUAAAGAUAUCAUACAAUUUUUGUAGCUGCAUGUUUCUUAAAUUUUCUAAAAAAAAAUUCAGUAAAAAAUUAAUACUUUCCUAAAUAAUGAGUAUCUUGGGUAGUUAGGUUAUAUUAAACACUCUUUAUAGGGAUGUUAUAGUAGUAUAAAAAUGUAUUGGACAAGGUGGAAUACAAUUUUGUAUGCUAACACGAUUUGGCAAGAUAGCGUAAGAACCGAGUUUUUUUUAGUAUUGCGAAUCAUUUAUAGACAAUAAAUUCAAUAUAAAUUU